GGGGGCUUUUGGGGCAGCGGAGUGACCCAAAAUGGGGCUUUUUAGACCCAAAUCCCAGCACAAAGUGGCCCAAUUUGGACUUUUCUGAGGCCAAAAUCCCAUCACAGAGACCUAAUUUGGACUAUUCUGAGGCCAAAAUCCAUCACAAAGAUCCAAACUGGAUGUUUCUGAGCCCAAAAUCCCAUCACAAAGACCCAAUUCUGGUUAUUCUGAGGUCAAAAUCCAUCACAAAGUGCCCAAUACUGGUUAUUCUGAGCCCAAAAUCCAUCCCAAAGACCCAAUUUUGGCUUUUUUGAGACCAACUCCAUCAUGAAGACCCAAUUCGGGCUUUUCUGAACCCAAAAUCCCAUCACAAAGACCCAAUUUGGACUAUUCUGAGCCCAAACUCCAUCACAAAGUGCCCAAUU
rnacentral:lncRNA from 1 species